GACGAACGCUGGCGGCGUGCCUAAUACAUGCAAGUAGAACGCUGAAGGUGGAGCUUGCUUCUCUGGAUGAGUUGCGAACGGGUGAGUAACGCGUAGGUAACCUGCCUGGUAGCGGGGGAUAACUAUUGGAAACGAUAGCUAAUACCGCAUAAUAGCAGUUGUUGCAUGACAACUGUUUGAAAGGUGCAAUUGCACCACUACCAGAUGGACCUGCGUUGUAUUAGCUAGUUGGUGGGGUAACGGCUCACCAAGGCGACGAUACAUAGCCGACCUGAGAGGGGGAUCGGCCACACUGGGACUGAGACACGGCCCAGACUCCUACGGGAGGCAGCAGUAGGGAAUCUUCGGCAAUGGACGGAAGUCUGACCGAGCAACGCCGCGUGAGUGAAGAAGGUUUUCGGAUCGUAAAGCUCUGUUGUAAGAGAAGAACGAGUGUGAGAGUGGAAAGUUCACACUGUGACGGUAUCUUACCAGAAAGGGACGGCUAACUACGUG
rnacentral:rRNA from 1 species